CUGAUGCGCAUGCGUAGAUUGGAUUUUCUACCUCACGAGGAAAGAAAGACAACCAAAAUGAUCUCAAGAAUCCAAUGGAGUCUUCUCACCACGAAGCCAACCCAAACUAAGCAAAUGAUGUCUUCAUGGUUCACCCAGUGACUACACAAACAGACUGCUGCAUGGAGCUAUGAUGGAGUGAUGAUGGAGUGCACACUGUUACAGUACAACGGAAGCUCAAGGUAUAACAGACCAGACUGGACUGAUGCAUGCAGCUUCUAUUCCCAUUCAAGUAAAGAUCGUGCAGUGAAGACUCUAACUGCAUGCAGAAAUCAAUGCCAUAUAAUAAACAGACUUAACGGCAUGGGACUGGCUUCUCUCUCUCUUUCAUUGGCUGAGCUCUGCACUUGUAAUUUAUAAGAACUAGAGGAGGAUGCUCCACUGGGUCCAUCGUUAGUCGUCGUCGUUAGGAUGUUUGUUGCCGUCAAUUGUUUGUUGUUGUUCCAUUGUUCGUCGUCGUCAGGGUGUUUGUUGCCGUCCCGGGUUCAUUGUUAGUUGUUGCCCCAUUGUUUGUUAUUGUUCCGUUCGUUGUUGGUCCAGUGUUCGUCGUCGUCGUUGUUGUGUUUGUUGGGUCAAUGGGGUCGGGGUUAUAUAUUAUAUUGCACUCUUCUAAUUCUACGGAAAACUCACGCAGUGCGUUGAUGUUUGCUGAGAGCCUUGGAGGCAUGCAGGGAACUAACCCCACUACCUCCCUCAAGACUCGUAGAAGCUCCCUCUGCAAGAAAAAAGAAAAUUUAGUGAUAAAUAAUCGAGUAUGUAUGUAAUAAACUUACGUUAGUUUCAAGAAGCUGUUCCGUAUAUGUUCCCCCCGAACCAGUGCCUCCGCCUUGUCCUCCUUCAUCCUCAGUUGGUGGUGGUGGGUAUUUGACCCAUCUUAGCCAUUUGGCAUAAUCUUUAUCACGCAGCUGGAAUUUGACUAGUUUAAUGUUGGGGCUGGGAACGAGGGUGUCUUUAAAUUGAGGAUGUAGAAUGUUCACAGGGUUAAUUAUGCACGACUGUACGUUUUUGUGCCAAUCCAGAGGAGUGGGCUGUCAAGCAUAGGAAAUUUAGCAAACGACAUUUGAUUAGAUGAACUGUUAGGCCGAGCCAUUACUGACAUACACAUUAACUGUGCAUGGUGCAAAGGCUGUAGCAAGUGGUCAGGCUGGUGGCUACUUUUUGUAGCUAGGUAGGUAAUGGUCGUCAAUAUUGUAAUUGAUCACUCUAGCUACGCCCCUGCAUACAAUGGAUUUGUUUGUAUCGUAACUAUAGCAACCACCACAUGCCUCUUCACGAAAAGAAAAAUGGCGGGAAAUUCAAAAUGAUGUCUACGCGCAUACGCCAUGCAAUUAUUGGUCGGCCUAAUGCACGUCGCUCAAAUGCAUGCAACUUGCUGUGAACUUCCUUCAAGUGCUUGAUAUAGGUCGUGGCAUUUCGGUACGAAUGAUCUUUUAGAUCAAUCGGGUCUCUCCAAGAGAACUCAGUCUGUAUGGAAUGAUGAAGAUAGCUAUAAAUCGACUGUUAAGAAAUUAGCUAGUUUUCUACAAUUACGGGAGCUCCGGGGCUGCAAGAAGCACGUUGGGCAAAGUAGUGUUAAAUUAAAUUUUAAUUAUAUUGAUUAUUAUUUUUUGGGUUUCGACUCAGGCAUACUUUAUAAUUAUGCUUUCUGAAAGUUGCCAGCAUAUAGCACUGUAGGCAGUACAGCUUGGAGUUAGGUUGGCGGCGCUUAGAGCAUUGUAGCACCGCUACAACCAUCUUUUUGGUGAGAGCCCUGCACCAAAUGAAUAUACUAAGUAAAUGAGUGUUCUGCAUGCCAUCAGCAUUGCCGACAUUGUACAUGCACGUGUGUGAUUAAGUUAUAACUAGGUGUAUCUACUGCAUGAUUAUACUUACGUUAACUCGUCCUGUUGCCAGCAUAUAGCACUGUAUAUAGGCAGUACAGCUUGGAGUUAGGUUGGCGGCGCUUAGAGCAUUGUAGCACCGCUACAACCAUCUUUUUGGUGAGAGUCUGCACCAAAUGAAUAUACUAAGUAAAUGAGUGUCCUGCAUGCGCCGACAUUGUACAUGCAUGUGUGAUCAAGUUAUGGAGAAUUUCAUCAGCACCACAUUUAAAAGAGAGAUUCCAUUUGAUUCCUUUUGUUCUCCUCUUCCCUGCUGACCUAGUGAAGAAUACUCACAGGACUAUUUGAAGCUCACUGCCAGCGAAUUUGUAUGGGGCACCUAUUUGUCCAUUAAUUAGAAGCUCUUAAUUUGCGUUACCGUUCGACCAUAUACUGUUGUAUUUUGUCUAUUAUUUUACUAAUCAUAGCUAUAAGACGAACAAUUCAACUACUUUAUCUACUCUAUCUGCGUUACAUACUAUAUACACUAAAAUUAAGAAGAUAAUUAACAUUUUCGUCAUUCGGUUCUGAGUUGUCCCGGGUAUGUCUUUUGUUUAUCUAGUGUAUGACCGUCGUCCCCGUCAUCUCCUCUAUCUCCAUCAACACCGUCCACACCAGGGACGCCCGGUGGACCUUCGGGACCACGUUGGCCUUGUCGACCAGGUGAACCUACGGGAGGAAUGGGGGCAAUAUAGGAAAUACAUUAUUCCUCCUCAAACCUAUGUCCUGCAGUUUGGAUUGGGGUGUGUUCAGCCUGCAGAACCUAGGGAGCCGGAGGAACAAGAUUUGUUCAUAUGCAAUGACUAGUAUGAUGUUUCAAGAAACUGGUUUGAUUUUUUGUGGAUAAAUUAAUGGAAUAAAGUAUAAUUAUAAUGAAAUGAUUUAUGUCAUUAAUAAAUAUGUCGUAAGCUGUCAAUCGCACACUAUAAUUGCAGAUGGACAAUAAUUUGAGCCUAGCCAUGGCUACUCAACAGGAGUAUGAUGACAAUCACAUACUACUCUACAUUCAUUUGGUAUGCAGCUUUACCCGGAUGAUGUAUCGGGGUUCUGUCCUAGGACCAAACCACCGGGGGGGAGGCGUAGUCCUAUAAGAACUGUCGCCCGGAGGUUCUAUCCUGAUGUUAAUUUUACAUCCUGCAAUAGAUUACUCAGACUGCUCUGGCCUUUUGACUUCUGCUUCCUAUAAUUAUCAUCACUUGUGCUCCAUACAUCACAUAAAUAAUAUGCCUUACAAGUUAUUUUGUGUUUUUGUUUGUGUUCUGAUUCAUCUUUGCUGUAUCAAGAUAUACAAUACAUACUAACUUAUGAGUUUGUUUGAUUCCCUGCAGAUGUGCAAGUAUAGACUGACUACUUGGACAGUGCAGCUCAGUUUUGAGGUAUCCCCUGUGUUGAAUAUCUCAAUGUGGCCAUGCCAGACAACAAGCAUUACUGCACUGAGGAUGAUAGCUACCAGAGUUUCAGUCAUGGAAGUCAAGCAAUAUGGAAAUGGAACUCUAACUGCUGUCUAUCAUGUGGUCAUGGUCAUGCAUGGUCACAUGAUGGAUUGGUUCGGGAUCGAAGCACCCCUAUAUACUAACUGUCUGUGGAUGUGUGUGCAUGUGUCUGGAUUAAUCAUAGCUAGCCAUUGAUCACAAUAAUUAUAGACCAUUAAUUCUUAAUUAAUUUUUUGUUCAUGUAAUUACGUUAUCAAACGUUAUCAAAAGAGUAUACAAUUAAACAUGGUAACUAAU